rnacentral:rRNA from 1 species
UGGCGGACGGGUGAGUAACGCGUGGGGAACCUGCCCUGUACCGGGGGAUAGCAGCCGGAAACGGCUGAUAAUACCGCAUAAGCGCACGAAUGUCGCAUGACAUGGUGUGAAAAACUCCGGUGGUAUAGGAUGGACCCGCGUCUGAUUAGCCGGUUGGUGGGGUAAAAGCCUACCAAAGCGAAGAUCAGUAGCCGAGUUGAGAGACUGACCGGCCACAUUGGGACUGAGACACGGCCCAGACUCCUACGGGAGGCAGCAGCC